AUUGAACGCUGGCGGCAUGCCUUACACAUGCAAGUCGAACGGCAGCGGGGGAGAAGCUUGCUUUUCCUGCCGGCGAGUGGCGAACGGGUGAGUAAUACAUCGGAACGUGCCCUGUAGUGGGGGAUAACUAGUCGAAAGAUUAGCUAAUACCGCAUACGACCUGAGGGUGAAAGUGGGGGACCGCAAGGCCUCAUGCUAUAGGAGCGGCCGAUGUCUGAUUAGCUAGUUGGUGGGGUAAAGGCCUACCAAGGCGACGAUCAGUAGCUGGUCUGGGAGGACGAUCAGCCACGCUGGGACUGAGACACGGCCCAGACUCCUACGGGAGGCAGCAGUGGGGAAUUUUGGACAAUGGGCGAAAGCCUGAUCCAGCAAUGCCGCGUGUGCGAAGAAGGCCUUCAGGUUGUAAAGCACUUUUGUCCGGAAAGAAAUGGCUCUGGUUAAUACCUGGGGUCGAUGACGGUACCGGAAGAAUAAGGACCGGCUAACUACGUGCCAGCCGCCGCAGUAAUAC
rnacentral:rRNA from 1 species